rnacentral:rRNA from 1 species
UACGUAGGGGGCUAGCGUUGUCCGGAAUCAUUGGGCGUAAAGCGCGUGUAGGCGGUCCGGUAAGUCCGCUGUGAAAGUCGGGGGCUCAACCCUCGGAUGCCGGUGGAUACUGUCGGGCUUGAGUACGGGAGAGGCGAGUGGAAUUCCUGGUGUAGCGGUGAAAUGCGCAGAUAUCAGGAGGAACACCAAUUGCGAAGGCAGCUCGCUGGAACGUUACUGACGCUGAGACGCGAAAGCGUGGGGAGCAAACAGG